AGAUUGAACGCUGGCGGCAUGCUUUACACAUGCAAGUCGAACGGUAACACGGCCGCAAGGUGCUGACGAGUGGCGAACGGGUGAGUAAUGCAUCGGAACGUGCCCAGUCGUGGGGGAUAACGCAGCGAAAGCUGUGCUAAUACCGCAUACGAUCUAUGGAUGAAAGCGGGGGACCGAAAGGCCUCGCGCGAUUGGAGCGGCCGAUGUCAGAUUAGCUAGUUGGUGGGUAAAGGCCCACCAAGGCGACGAUCUGUAGCUGGGUCUGGAGAGGACGACCAGCCACACGUGGAACUGAGACUACGGUCCAGACUCCUAGGGAGGCAGCGAGGUAGGGGAAUAUUGGACAAGUGGGGACGUAAGCCUAGACUCGACGCAACGCCGCGUGGAGGGA
rnacentral:rRNA from 1 species